UCCUUGGUCGUCCAGUGGUUAAGAAUCCAGCUUCCAAUGCAGGACACAUGGGUUCGAUCCCUAUUCCAGGAA
rnacentral:tRNA from 1 species